rnacentral:lncRNA from 1 species
AUCUUUGUCCCUAAAAAUGCAGCUACAAAUCAGCAUCUAAGUAGGCGACGUACUUUAUCCCUAAGUCCUUUGCCUUGGGAUUUAUCUUCAAUUAAAGCGUCACGUUCUCAAGGGGAGAAGUCUAUGUCUGAUUUUGCCUUUCCUCUGCCAGGGAGCGGGAGUUAGAGUCAUUGUCGGAGCCAUCACGAAUAAGGAUCUCCCUCUGUAGUGACUUGGUAAUAAAUGUUAAUUAAAGCUUCUCAUUUCUGAGCCUGCGAUCUGGUGUUGGCUGAGGGUCCCUCGUGAGGUUGCAGCUGAGAUGUGGUUGGGACACAGUUCUUUGAAGACUCCACUGGGCCUGGACCAGAAGACUGUUUCUGCAGUGGGUCACCUUCGUGCCAGGCACAGGGGCCGUUGGUCCGACGUCUAAUUUCCUCUCCAGGAUGAUGUCUUCAUAGAGCUGCUUGAGUGUCCUCUUGGGGGCGGGGGGGGGCUGCUUUCUGGUAGAGUGAGCAGUCCAAGAGGGCAAGUGGGGAGCUGCCACAUCGCUCUUGUCCUAACCUUGGACGUCACAUGAGAUCAUUCCGACAGUAUCCUCGUGGUUACACGGGCCAGCCCUCUGUAAUGAGGGAGCGGUUCAGGAAGCAGGCAUCAUUUGGGGCCAUUUCGGAGGCUGUUGACCACAUCGUCAGGUGAAUAAAGAAAUAACUUGAGAAAGACACAAACAUUUAAGAAAAGUGCCUAUCUAGAGAUGGAUUUUCUUAGAGGGGAAGAUUCUCUUUGUAGGUGUGCUUUCUUCCCUCCUGACGUACCCUUCUUUAGUUUUCAGGUGGAAGGAAGCAACAAUAAUUUCUCUAUAAACUUAAUGUCAGUUAACAUGGUAAUUACAAGACAGUAGCUAGUCUCACAUGAUAAUUGAUGAUAAUUGCUUCCUGCUUUAAUUGGUAUAUAAACAAGCCUAUGCAAUAGGAAUUGCAACAUCUACUCAAAAAGAAAAAGAAAAUCAGAGAGGAAAAUUUGUCAUAGUCACUUGGACGCUGAGAAGGAGCUGACAAAUCCAGCCUACGUGUCUACAAGUCGUCAAAGCAGCUGCUGGCGAUGCUUGGCACUUCCUUGGAGCUGGCAAGGAAGACGGUACAAGUGAAAGCACCAGGCUGGCUGGCAUGAGCUCCGGGAUGCUGCUGAGAUGGGCGCCGAUGCCCAGCUGCCCACGGCAGUUCUGCCAGCUUGCUGAAGUGCAUAUAGGUUGCCAAUGCAAGAGACCAAAGCAGGCUCAUCGGUGCAAGAGGAGCUGAUGUCUCUCCCCUGUUGCCACCUGCGCCUUCUGGACAGAUGACAGCAGAGCAGAAUGGGGGGGCGGGGGGAGGCUAGUCUUGUUCUGGACGUGAAACACUGGAACUUUAUAUAUCACAGCAUCUGAAAGCAAGGAUAAGCAUGAGGAGGAAGAUACUGAAUUCAGGUAGACAGGUUAGCCUACAUUUAUUCAAGAAGGAAAAGGGCCAACAACGUUUGAGGCAGUGAAACUCCCAGAAGCUCAGCUGCAUUCCCGUAGAGCAGUAGGCGAGUGGCAGAUGGGAAUUAACAUCUGGGUGUCCAAAUUUAGAGGAAACAAGAGAAGAUAUAGGAGAAAGAAAUGUUAUCCGAGGCCAGGACCUUUGAAAAGCGGAGGAGGGACAGCAUCUCAAGGACACAUGGCAGAUAUUUCUCUUUCCCAUGACCUUGGGGGCAUGGACCUUAGGGACAUCGAGAGCAGUUUCUGGUCAGAGAUCCACACAGGGAACAAACGUGGAAACUAGAGGGAAAAAAUUACCCUGCUCCAGGCAGUCACGGGGGAGGCCAGGUCGAUGGAGACACUGGAACAUGGAUGGAUGAUCCGUGGAGUCUUCCUUGGUUGAUACCCGCAGGCAGAGGGGAGAAGUGAGAGGGACAAUGGAACACCAUGUCCAGGAGUGGCCUGAGGUAGGGUCAGCAUCGCUUCUCCUCUUAUUUCAUUGGCCACAUUCAGUUAUUGGGCUACAUUUAGCCUGGGAAAUGUCGUUGGCAGCCGUUUCCAAAUUACAACAACAUAUUAUAGGAGGGGUUUGACUCUCUAACGGAGGGGUUUGUCACAGUCUACAGACUUUUCACUAAGCAUGGCAAGAUAAAUUGGUUAAUUUUGAUCUUCAGUUCUGUUAGACUUUAAAUUCUUCAGGUUUGUGUUGCAAAAGGAUUUUUUACCUUGGGAAUUUGAUUUUUUUUUUCUGCUAAAAAAUCAAUUUUUUUAUUUUAUUUUAUAUGGGGGGCAUUUUUUAUUCAACUUUAGGACAUUUCUACGUGAUUGGUUUUAAGUUAUCAGAUUAUCUUCCUGAAAAUCUCAAAUCUUAUCCCAGAACCUCCAAGGAGCUAUAUUAGGCAAUUUGUUUGCACAUAAUUGGAGAUGGGAGAAAGAAUUAGAAGUAUCCUUUCGGUGUAUGUAUUAAGAGCUUUUUGGAGUUCGCGUAAUGAAUUUAUUGUUUGGGUGAUUUCAGAAGCUUUGGGGGCAAAAUCCAAGCUACCCAUCUGGAGUAGAAGAGGGGCACUCAGUGGGACCAUGUCUGGCUCUGGAGCUGAGGUCUCCUCCUGGAUGACGGAGCUUCGCUCUUGCAGAUGAUUGAAAAAUCAAACCCAGGGGACAAAGCGAGCCCAGCCCCAGGUCCUGCGGGGCGGGUCGCUGUUUCCCUCCCUUUCCUUUUGCUUUCCGACGACUUCCCUAAUCCAGCACUGCCAUCCCUCUGGCCCCUCAUUCACUGACCACUGGACUUGGCAGACCCUGGCCCUUUCUUUCCUUUCUUUGGCGCAAAGAUAAAGCAUUCCAUUGUGCCCUGGGCAGGAAGGGCCUGCCUUUGGAGGGAGGGCAGCUUCAACUCAGAGGCAUGUCAUUCAGCUUGUUUGUUUGCACAGCUUAGCCAUGUCCUCCUUCCUAAUUUUCACUGGUGAUAAAGCUGGCACUGUGAUUUCCAUCUGUCUGCCUCCAUGUGACCAUAUGCCACUUGGUUUGAACUCGAGGGGUAUUACUUUUUGACCCCAUCCAACAAUGACUACAGAUUGGGCUGGACUCCCGAUUCGCCUGUUUAUGAUCUGAGUUGUACCGAGAAAACCGUGUGGUCUCUCUGAGCUUUAGUUUCCUGCCCAUUAAGUAGGGGGAAUAAUCACCUCUUUACAGGAGUGUUGUGAGAAUUAGAAAGGAUAAUGGCUGUAAAAUGUUUUGUACAACACCUGGCGCACAGUAAGGACACAACAAAGUAUAUCUCUUAUAAUUAUGACAUUUUUUUUCAGGAUGAUCUCAUGUGCGCAUUGCAUAUCUCUGUGCUGGGAAAUAAUUAGCCUUUACUUUUUCUUUGGGUUAUUCAUGGUGACAUCUGAUAAUCAGUUCCUGUGUUAUCUGCAAGUACCAGAUAUUAAAAAUUCAAUGGAGAAAGUAACAACAAGUUCAGAAAGAUGGGAGGACUAGGAAAGGCGUUCCAAUAUUUUCAGAAGCAUUUAAGCUGGGCAGUUUUCCAACGCAACCCCUUCCAGCCCAAUAAAAACAAGUACACUUAUACAAAUGGUCCCUACACGCCGACGUUUUAAUGUUUUGCUUUGUCAUCCUUGUGUUCUCUCCAUGUACAGGUUUGCCUGCCUCAGUUAACUCUGAUCUCCAUGAGGACAGAAUCUGUCUUGAAGUCUUUGACCCCCGGGCGCUAGCCUUCAGCACUUGGGACGGCUUCUCAUCAUCACCAGGAUUGUGUCAGGGAGCAGCCAUCACUGCUGGAGUUUGAAGGGACCGAUAAGCAUACAAAGCAGAGAGACAGACGAAGUAAUGGGUCAGCCAAAAUGUGAAUGGAAGCCGAAUUGGAGAACAAGACUCCGAGGAGCAGCAACCCAGGGUCUCUGGAUGCUCUUGCCUCCAAGUUGGUCCUAGAGGAGCCCCCUCAACAGAUAUUCGGGGUCUUCAGAAUGGAUGCUGACAUCCCUCCACUUAUCCAGACAAGGUAAGACCCCGAAAGAGAUGGAAACUCUCCUGCUCAGGACUUUUGAUAAGUCAGGGCCACUCAAGUGAAACCUGUGUACUAAUGGCUGUUGUUCAUCGACCAGGUCACUCACUCCUCCUGAUGGAAGAGGGGGGAUGGGGUGAGAGACCACGAGGUUUUGGGGUCAGUGUCAGUCUUUUCUCCUGGAAGCCAGAGGCAAAGACAAAGGUUUUUCUGCAUCUCCCCACAACACCCACCCCCCAUUAUAUCGAUUAGGAAACAGAGGGCAGAAGAGGUGGAGUCUGUUGCUCAAGGGCUCAGCACUUCCAUGGCAGAGCCAGGCAGUCUGACUGUGGGGCCAGCCUCGUAAGGACACUAGGCUGCUUCUGUAGCGCUCACACCCGGACCUGUCUGGCCCUGGAUCCUGCCACCCACCACAGCACAUGACCUGUCCUGGGGGCUAAGACCAUAAGUACACUGGCUGUUAAGCCUUCAAAAGGUUCCUGGUGCAUCUCUACCCCGGGACCUGGAUACAGCUGUCCCUCAUCUGCUUAACCGAUAUGUUCUUCUGUUUCCAUGAAUUUGGACUUCAACUUCCAGCAAUGAUCCGAGUCACUCAGCCCACGUCACUGCCAUCGGCACGCACCCUCUCGUCCCCGCUGCUUGGGGCUUCCCAAAUUCCUACUCUCCCGCCGGGUGUCACUGACAGCCACGUCCGUCCCAUCUACAGACCACACCCAGACGUCACAGUGACACAUGUUCAAUCGGAUGAGCCUUUCUGUAUCCAGACGUUGCGUGGUGAUGGCAGUCUAUUGAGUGCUAAUGAUGGGAAUGUUUUGAGGGAUCCACUCACUAAUGCAAUAGCUCUUUGGUCGUUUCGACUGUCAUUUUCCCCUGUGCCAGGGUGGUGUUUCACUAUGUUAUUGGAAGUGACUCUUUUCCUCAGAGUUCCUGCUGCGCUGAGCCCUUUCCUUCUCGCUGCAAGAAUAUCUUGUCCAUUUGCUGCCUCAGGGAGAAGAAGGGCUCAUAAGGAAUAGCAAAAAGGCACUGAGGUAUUUGACGUGUCUGACCCCAAGACUCCAAAAGAUCCCUCAGGGUUUAGGGAGGAUAUUAAAGAGAGCAAGGAGAGAAUGAGUACUGGGCUCCCUGAAAACAAGUGACCCUGUAUAUAUAUAGCCAGCCAGAAGACUGAUGGCAGAAAUAACCCUCUUUGGGGUGUGAGAUUCAGGUGAUGAGGUGGCUUUUCUCAGGUGUGUCUGGGGGAGGUGACAACACGCCUGAGAGAUGUGGGUUCAGGGCUGAACUGGGCAGAGAGCUUUUUUUUUUUUUUUUUUUUUUUUGUCUUUUUGUCUUUUAGGGUCUCACUUGCAGUUGGAGGGGCCCAGGCUGGGGGUCGAAUCAGAGCCGCAGCUGCCAGCCUACACCACAGCCAUAGCAAUCUGGGAUUGAGCCAUGUCUGUGACCUACACCACAGCUCACAGCAACACUGGAUCCUUAACCCGCUGAGCGAGGCCAAGGAUGGAACCCCAGUCCUCAUGGAUAUUGGUCGGGUUCGUUACCCCUGAGCCAUGACGGGAACUCCCUGGGCAGAGAUCUUGAAUUCUCUCAGCUGUGUGUUCCAGGCUAUAGAUAUUUAUUUGUCCUUGAAGGGGGCCUGGUACAGCUGAGAGAGGGGAUCCAGGCUGAAUAGACCCUGAUGAUGCUGGAGAAAAAUGUUGGGCAUCUUACGUGGGCCACACCAAGGACUAGGCGGGGCCAGGGACCUCCCAGCAGAGACCAGCAUGGACAAGUGGCCAGGGGAACACCUCCCACCAUCUCAGAAAAUAUGGGGUGAUAUAGGGGAAUCUUCUCCUUGAAAUGUUAUAUGAAAUCCCAGGGAAAUAAAAUGGGAAAAGCCCUGACAUGUCUGAGAUUAUGUUUCUGAUGCUAUAUAGGAUGAGAGUUUGAAAUAAUUAGGCGAAGGUAAAUGUAACAAAUUAAAGAAUUUGUCUAUGGGAGUUCCCGUUGUGGCUUGGUGGAUGACAAACAAACUAGUAUCCAUGAAGACGCAGGUUCAAUCACUGGCCUCACUUGGUGGGUUAAGGACCCAGCGUUGCCAUGAGCUGUGGUAUAGGUCAAAGACAUGGCUCAGGUUCUGCGUUGUAGCUGUGGUGCAGGCCAGCAGCUGCAACUCUGAUUUGACCCCUAGCCUGGGAACUUCCAUAUGCUGCAGGUGCAGCCCUAAAAAAACGGCAAAAAAAAAAAAAAA